rnacentral:tRNA from 1 species
GGCCUUAUAGUGAAGUUCACACCAAAUUGCAAAUUUGGGAAUAUACUUAGCUGGUAUUUUGGCCU